GGUAAAGGGACGUUACCAAGGCGAUGAUGCAUAGCCCGAGUUGAGAGACUGAUCGGCCACAUUGGGGACUGAGACACGGGCCCAAACUCCUACGGGAGGCAGCAGUAGGGAAUCUUCCACAAUGGACGCAAGUCUGAUGGAGCAAACGCCGCGUGAGUGAAGAAGGUUUUCGGAUCGUAAAAAGCUCUGUUGUUGGUGAAGAAGGAUAGAGGUAGUAACUGGCCCUUUAUUUGACGGUAAUCAACCCAGAAAGUCACGGGCUAACUACGUGCCCAGCAGCCGACGGUAAAU
rnacentral:rRNA from 1 species